UACGUAGGGUGCAAGCGUUGUCCGGAAUUAUUGGGCGUAAAGAGCUCGUAGGCGGCUUGUCGCGUCGGCUGUGAAAACCUGGGGCUCAACCCCGGGCCUGCAGCCGAUACGGGCAAGCUAGAAUUCGGUAGGGGAGACUGGAAUUCCAGGUGUAGUGGUGAAAUAACGUAGAUAUCUGGAGGAACACCGGUGGCGAAGGCGGCGACCUGGUCCUAUACUGACACUCAUACACGAAAGCGUGGGGAUCAAACAGG
rnacentral:rRNA from 1 species